AUUGAACGCUGGCGGAAUGCUUUACACAUGCAAGUCGAACGGUAGAGGGGGCAACCCCUCGAGAGUGGCGAACGGGUGAGUAAUAUAUCGGAACGUGCCCAGUCGUGGGGGAUAACGUAGCGAAAGUUACGCUAAUACCGCAUACGAUCUAAGGAUGAAAGCGGGGGAUCGCAAGACCUCGCGCGAUUGGAGCGGCCGAUAUCAGGUUAGGUAGUUGGUGGGGUAAAGGCUGACCAAGCCAACGAUCUGUAGCUGGUCUGAGAGGACGACCAGCCACACUGGAACUGAGACACGGUCCAGACUCCGACGGGAGGCAGCAGUGGGGAAUUUUGGACAAUGGGCGAAAGCCUGAUCCAGCCAUUCCGCGUGCAGGAUGAAGGCCCUCGGGUUGUAAACUGCUUUUGUACAGAACGAAAAGGUUUCUACUAAUACUAGGAGCUCAUGACGGUACUGUAAGAAUAAGCACCGGCUAACUACGUGCCAGCAGCCGCAGUAA
rnacentral:rRNA from 1 species